GAUGAACGCUGGCGGCGUGCUUAACACAUGCAAGUCGAACGAUUAAAGCCCCUUCGGGGGUGUAUAGAGUGGCGAACGGGUGAGUAACACGUGGGCAAUCUGCCCCUCACUUCGGGAUAACUCAGGGAAACUUGAGCUAAUACCGGAUACUCCGAACUGAUCGCAUGGUCGGUUCGGGAAAGCUCCGACGGUGAGGGAUGAGCCCGCGGCCCAUGAGCUUGUUGGUAGGGUAACGGCCUACCAAGGCGACGAUGGGUAGCCGAGCGGAGAGGCUGAUCGGCCACACUGGGACUGAUACACGGCCCAGACUCCUGCGGGAGGCAGCAGUGGGGAAUUUUGCGCAAUGGGCGAAAGCCUGACGCAGCAACGCCGCGUGCGGGAUGAAGGCUCUCGGGUCGUAAACCGCUUUCAGCAGGGAUGAAAUUGACAGUACCUGCAGAAGAAGCCCCGGCUAAAUACGUGCCAGCCGCCGCCGUAACAC
rnacentral:rRNA from 1 species